UACGUAGGGGGCUAGCGUUGUCCGGAAUCAUUGGGCGUAAGCGCGUGUAGGCGGCCCGGUAAGUCCGCUGUGAAAGUCGAGGGCUCAACCCUCGAAUGCCGGUGGAUACUGUCGGGCUAGAGUGCGGAAGAGGCGAGUGGAAUUCCUGGUGUAGCGGUGAAAUGCGCAGAUAUCAGGAGGAACACCUAUUGCGAAGGCAGCUCGCUGGGACGUUACUGACGCUGAGACGCGAAAGCGUGGGGAGCAAACAGG
rnacentral:rRNA from 1 species